GCAUGUGUUCAAGAGAGUGAGCAGCAGUGUCACACUUAACUUUAUGACAACUAAUUCCUCUCCCACGUUCUACAUUAAUCCCUUCUAGAGGGUGGGGCCCCUGUGACCUCAUCACCUCUUAAAUGUUCCACCACCUUUUAAUACUUUUGUUGGAAACCAGAUCUCUAACAUGAAUUUUGGUGUGGACAACCCACAUCUAAAUCAUCACAGCAUAUAAGAUACAAUUAGAAUCUUUGCCCAUUACAAUUUGGACUUCCUCUUAGGAAAUAAAAUGAGGAUAAAGAUAGGUAUUACAUGUAUUUUGCUUUGCAAAAUGUAGGCUAGGUAUAUUAGGCCUGACAUAAUAAAGUACCACAGACUGAGUGGUUUAGCAUAUUUUUUUUUCUUUUUUCAUUUGUUUGAAAGAGUUACAGAGAGACAGAGGCAGAGAUCUUCCAUCCGCUGGUUCACUCCCCAGAUGCUAGCAACAGCUAGAGCUGGGCCAAACCGAAGCCAGGAACCAUGAGCUUCUUCCAGGUCCUGCACAUGGGUGCAGGGGCCCAAGGAUGAACCAUCUUUUUUUUUUUUUUUUAAGAUUUAUUUAUUUAUUUAUUUAUUUGAAAGAGUUACACAGAGAGAGGAGAGGCAGAGAGAGGUCUUCCAUCCGAUGGUUCACUCCCCAGUUGGCCGCAACGGCCGGAGCUGCGACGAUGCGAAGCCAGGAGCCAGGAGCUUCUUCCAGGUCUCCUACACGGGUGCAGAGGCCCAAGGACUUGGGCCAUCUUCUACUGCUUUCCCAGGCCAUUGCAGAGAGCUGGAUCCGAAAAGGAGCAGCCAGGACUAGAACCCGCGCCCCUAUGGGAUGCCUGCACUUCAGGCCAGGGUGUUAACCCACUGCACCACAACUCUGCCUUAGGAUGGACUAUCUUCUAUCACUUUCCCAGGCCAUAGCAGAGAACUGGAUCAGAAAUGGAGCAGCCAGGACUCAAACCAGCACCCGUGUGGGAUGCAGGUGGUGGCUUUACCUGCUGCACCACAGUGCUGGCCCCAGACUGAGUGGUUUAAACAAUAGAAGUUUAUCUCUCACCUCUUUGGAGGCUAGAAAUUCAAGAUCAAGAUGUCAGCCUAUUAGUUUCCUUCAAGGAUCUGUUCCAGGCCUCUUUGACUUACAGAUGUCAUUGUUCUCUCUAUCGUCACAUCAUCUUUCCUCUAUAAGGGUCCGUGUUCAAAUUUCCUCCUAUUAUAAGGGACAGAGAGAAAUGUUUUAAAUUUUAUAUUAUUUGAGAAAGACAGAUCUUCCAUCCACUGGUUCAGUCUCAAGAUGCUCACAUCAGCUGGGGCUAUGCCAGAUCAAAAUCAGAAGUCAGAAAUCCAACCCCCUGGCCAGUCUGUGGCGUAGCCUGUAAAGCGCUGCCUGCAGUGCCCUGUCACAUAUGGGUACCACUUUGUGUCCUGGCUGCCCCACUUCUGAUCCAGCUCCCAGCUAGCACCUGGGAAAGCAACAGAAGAUGACCUAAGUGCUUGUGCCCUUGCACCCAUGUGAGAGAUCCAAAAGAAGCUCCUGGCUCCUGGCUUCAGACCAGCCCAGCUCUGGCCAUUGUGGCCAUUUGGGGAGUGAACCAGUAGAUAGAAGAUUCUCUCUCUCUCUCUCUCUCUCUCUCCUUCAAAUAAAUUAAUUAAUCUUAAAAAAAAAGAAAUUUAGCCGGCGCCGUGGCUCAAUAGGCUAAUCCUCCACCUUGCGGCGCCAGCACACCGGGUUCUAGUCCCGGUUGGGGCGCCGGAUUCUGUCCCGGUUGCCCCUCUUCCAGGCCAGCUCUCUGCUAUGGCCAGGGAGUGCAGUGGAGGAUGGCCCAGGUGCUUGGGCCCUGCACCCCAUGGGAGACCAGGAAAAGCACCUGGAUCCUGGCUCCUGCCAUCGGAUCAGCGCGGUGCGCCGGCUGCAGCGGCGGCCAUUGGAGGGUGAACCAACGGCAAAGGAAGACCUUUCUCUCCCUGUCUCUCUCUCUCACUGUCCACUCUGCCUGUCAAAAAUAAAAAUAAAAAUUAAAAAAAAAAAAAAAAAGAAAUUUUAUCCAGGCAGGUCUCCCACAUAGGUGACAAGAGACCUAAGUACUUGAGCCAUCAUCUGUUGCCUGCUAGGGUAUGCGUUAGCAGGAAGGGGGAAUCAGAAGCAGAGCCAGGACUUAAGCUCUGGCACUCCAGUAUGGGAUGCAGAUAUUGCAAGCAAUGUCUUAACUGUGCCAAGAUGCCCACCCCAAGAAAUCUUUGAAACAGAAAGAAAUGAAGAAAUGGUAUAAUAAAUAUGUUCCUACCAUCCUAGAUUACCAGUUUUUUUUUUCUUUUUAUAUGUUUAGUUGUUUAACUGACAUGCAGAUUUAAUAGAAGUAAGGUAUGCUUUUACCUGGAUGGACUUCUACCUGUGUGUACUGGUAACUUAGCAGCCACGUUAAGAAGGAGAAUGUCUCCCCCAUCCAUGAAAUUCCCUUCCUUCCAGUUCCCAGGUCAUUGACAUUGCUCCUGCUCUACAGGAACGAGCACGUUAGGGAAAAAAAGGAUAAACUCAGUUUUGAACAUCAUAUAAAUGGAAUCAUGCAGCAUGUACUGUUUGUCAAGCCUUACCCUUAGGGAGGUCCGCUCUCUUCUGUACAUAGCAAAUUUUAGAUUCAUCAUUGUUGCUGUGUGUUUCAAUAUUUCCAUUUUACCACUGAGCAGUAUUCCAAUAUAUGAAUAUACUGUAAUUUACUUCCUCAUUCUCCCCCUGGCAGUAAGUUUUUUCAAUCAGAGGGAUGUUAUGAAUAAGCUUCUAUGAAUGUUGCUUUGUUUUUUUUUUUGUUUUUUUAAAGAUUUAUUUAUUUAUUUGAAAGAGUUACACAGAGAGAGAAGGAGAGGAAGAGAGAGAGAUCUUCCAUCUGCUGGUUCACUCCCCAAUUGGCCACAAUGGCUGGAGCUGAGCUGAUCCAAAGCCAGGAGCCUGGAGUUCCUUUCAAGUCUCCCACGGAGGCAUCAGUGUCAUUCAAGGACGUGAGUGUGGAGUUCACCCCGGAGGAGUGGCAGCACGUGAGCCCUGCUCAGAGGACCCUGUACAGAGACGUGAUGCUGGAGAACUACAGCCACCUCGUCUCACUGGGUUACUGCAUUUUCAAACCAGAGGUGAUCUUCAAAUUGGAGCAAGGAGAAGAGGCGUGGUUCUCAGAGGGGGACUUCUCAAGCCAGGAUCUCCCAGUUUUAGAAGACUACAAUGAUGAUGACCUGACCAAGAAUGAGAAAAUCGGGCAUGAAAACUGGCGGAAAAUAGAGGUCAUCAGCAAUAAAACAUCGACAAGAGAAGAAGAGGAAGCUUUGGGCAAACCAUUUAAUCUGAGCACAGCUUCUAUUUCUUCAGCAAAAAUGUCCUGCAAAUGUGACUCAUGGCAAGUGAAUUUGCAAAAUACUUCUGAAUUUGUCAUUAAUAAUAGAAACUAUUUAAGAAAAAAAGCAGAUUAUCCUAAUAUAUGUGAGAAUUUACCUUUUAAAAUUAAGUGUGACAGAACACAAACUAGAGAGAAAUUUUAUGAAUAUAAUAAAAAUAUGAAAGCCCUCAGUUAUAAGAAAAACCUUCCGGAGCAUCAAACUUUUCAAACAUUGGAACAAGUUUUUGAGUGUAAUGAAAUUAGAAAGUCUUUAUGUGGCAGGACUGACUGCAUUGCUCGUAAGAGUUUUCACACAGAAGAAAAAUCCUGUAAAGAUGCUGAAUUUGGGAAAAACUGUGAUAACGCAACUGUCAUUGACCACCAAAGAACUGGCACAGGGGGAAAACACUCUCAUCUUAACCAGUAUGGGAAAUCCUUCUUUGAAAAAUCAGCUAUGGAAAAAUACAAUGAAUUUAAGACUGUUCUACAUUAUGAAUGUAAUACACAUGAGAAUAAUUUCAACAGGAAGUCAUUCCUUCCUCAACCACAGAGAACUAUCACAGAAGAUACUCCAUUAAUAUGUAAUGACAGAACACAAACCAGGGAUAAGUCCUUUCAGUGUCAUGAAAAUAAGAAAUCCUGGCAGGUACCGACUCACAAAACGCGCCAGAGAACUCACUCUGCGAUAAAGCCCUAUAACUGUAAUGAAUGUGGGAAGUCCUUCUUUCAGAAAGGACACCUCGUUCAGCAUCAGAGAACUCACACAGGAGAGAAACCAUUUGAAUGUCAUGAUUGUGGAAAAACUUUCUCCCAGAAAUCACACCUCAGUACACAUCACAGAAUUCACACAGCAGAGAAACCCUAUAAAUGUAAUGAAUGUGGGAAAACAUUUGUCCAAAAAUCAACGCUCAGGGGGCAUCAGCGGAUUCACACAGGAGAAAAGCCCUAUGAAUGUAGUGAAUGUGGGAAAACUUUUGUUCAAAAGUCAACCCUCAGAGAUCAUCAUAGAAUUCACACAGGGGAGAAAUCUUUUCAAUGUAAUGAGUGUGGAAAAACUUUUGGCCAGAAGUCAAACCUAAGAAUACAUCAAAGAACUCAUAGUGGAGAGAAAACUUAUCAAUGUAAUACAUGUGAAAAGUCCUUUUGGCGAAAAGACCAUCUCAUUCAACAUCAGAAAACUCACACAGGAGAGAAACCAUUUAAAUGUAAUGAAUGUGGGAAAACUUUUGCCCGGACAUCAACCCUGAGAGUGCACCAGAGAAUUCACACUGGAGAAAAACCAUUUAAAUGUAAUGAAUGUGGGAAAAAAUUUGUCCGGAAAGCAAUCCUUAGUGACCACCAGAGAAUUCAUACUGGGGAGAAACCCUUCCAGUGUAAUAAAUGUGGGAAAACUUUUGGCCAGAAGUCAAACCUCAGAAUACAUCAGAGAACUCACAGUGGAGAGAAAUCUUAUGAAUGUAAUGAAUAUGGGGAAUUGUACGAGAAGUCAACUGUAUACCAGAGAAUUCAAGGAGGGUUAACACCCUAAUGAUGUAAUGAUGUGGAAAAUCUUUCUGACAAAGGGACAACCCCAUUUGACUCAGAAUACUGUUGGGGAAAACUAGUUAAAUUAGUGACUAUUAAGUAAAUAGUCUAAGAAGUCAACCCCCACAGUGCUUCAGAGAUUUCACACAGGAAAAAAAAAUCAUUUGAACCUAAAAAUAGGAAGAAUUUGUCAAAAAGGCAAACCCUCAGAGUACAUCUGAGUUUUCACACAGACUCCUGUUUCUUUCAAAGGAGUAUGGAAAGUCCUAAAUAAAGUCACACCCCAUUAGAUAACUUACACACCACACAACAUGAUAAUGUAUUCACCAGUAACAACUUUAUUUUUUUUAGCACUUAUCUAGUCUUAAUUUCCCACUCUCCCUUUUGUGAAAAUGGGGCUUUGUGACUAGGUAAUGGAAUGUGCGUACCUAUGAUGUAUGUCACAUCCCAAACUGACAAAUAAAAGAUUACCAGGAACCUAUCAGAAUAAAAUGUAUAUGACUUUCGUAACAAUCUUGGGUGGCGUGCCUUCAUGUGGCACAUGACAAGAUAAAGGAAACUUUAUCAGUUGAACAUUUUGUGAGCAAAAAUUAAGCUUAUAUUCUGUCGGUCUUGUACACGUUCAGAUCUGUUUGUUUUCACACAUAAUUUCAUAUCCCUUUGCAAGGAAAGCAGAAAACUCUUGUCUCGACUUAUGUAAGCCAGAGGACACAAACCUAAUCAGAAGGUUAGAGUCAGAGUCCAUCAAAGAUCAUUCGAGAAACCAUAUGAAAGACAUCUUUCAAUGUAAUGAAAUAAACAGCACCACCUGAUACAGGACAUAUAUCAACCUAAAUGCUGGGCGUUUGGUUUUGGCUGAUGGUGAGCAGCUGCCAUGCAGCUUGGAGUGCCUUGUUUAGUAACAUGAAGUCACUGCUUCCUCACCUCUUGACAACUCUGUAUCCCAACCAAAGCUCUUUUAAGGAGAAAGAGGUUUCCCUGUCUCCAGUGGAGACUGAGAAGGAGGCUGUUGGCACAUAAGUAUUCUGGAGACCUUCGGGGAAGGAAAACACUCAAAUUUGUAUGGCUGUAUUGCAUCUAGUGCCCAAGUUAGCACCUUACCAGUUCCUUUGUGGGUAGAGGAUGCCUAAAUUUAGCUAAUGGGGUUCAGAGAAGGAAAACUGUAACUCCAUGGAUGAGGCCUUUGGGACCAGUAGGAUGUACUGUGAUUACUCCUACAUGUUAAACUACAGUAGGAAUUAGUAUUAUAUGUGCUGUACUUCCUCUGUGUUGCAGGGCAUGCUUUCCAUCAGGAAAACUUGCAUGCGAAUGUUGGCACCAGACAAGGCUUGGCUCAGGAUGAAGCUAGGAGCCAGGAAUCACAUCUGGGUCUCCCACAUGGUUGGCAGGACAAAGAGCUGCCGAGUGUAAAUUAGGUGAAAUUCCUCCCAAGAAUUCACUACUCAGGGCUAUCAGACCAGGAGCCCACCUGGAGCCCACCUGUGGUGCCUGCCUUGGAGGAAGGAGGUAAAGGUUUUAUUGCUCAAUGUUAUCAGGCCAGGCAACCCAUUUGGUGCUGAGCAGACAGGAUUGUCCUGGGGUGCUUCCCUGGGGGGGAGGGUAGAGGAAGGCUGAGACCACCAGGAAAGUUACUGGGGUCUGGGCCACACUUUGUAAUGUAAAACAGUGGGCUGCUUCCAAGGUGACCUUCUACUGAUGUUUUGUUUUCCUUCGCCCCUCCCACCUCCCCCACAUAGGCUAAUUUGUAACUUCCUCCCUCACAAACCAUACAUACUUCCUAAGAGGCUAUAAACUGUUCAGUUGUUAUUGUAAUCAUGACUAGUUUAAAUCCUUUGUCAUCCACAAUGUGAUUCCCAAAAAUACUUACGCCUGUUAGCAAAGCACUGUUAGUACUAUGCCUAAGUGUCUAGUUUUCUAGGCUACAGAUUUUUUUCCUGAAACUCCUAGGGUUCACAACACCUUGGUAAAGUAAUUUAAUUUCUCCAGUGUUCAAAAAACUGUUUAAUGUUUUUAAAAUUCAAAAAUUGCUUUAAAGUAACUACGCAUGCUCUUUUAAGUUUUUUUUUUUUUCUUAAUUUAAAGGCCUUGAGGACUAUUUAGGAUAUGAACUGAAGGAACUGGGUGGCAGGAAAGAAAAUUGGAGAGAGCUAUAAGCAUGAGAAUGUAUUCUUGGUGAAGGAAAAUUGAAUGAAUGUUUGGAUAGAAAAAAAUUUUUGAUAGAGGAAUUGAAGGAAUAAGCAUGUUGUAGAAGGUUUGUGGAGCUGGCGCCGUGGCUCACUAGGCUAAUCCUCCGCCUAGCGGCGCCAGCACACGGGUUCUAGUCCCAGUCGGGGCACCGGAUUCUGUCCCAGUUGCCCCUCUUCCAGGCCAGCUCUCUGCUGUGGCCAGGGAGUGCAGUGGAGGAUGGCCCAAGUGCUUGGGCCCUGCACCCCAUGGGAGACCAGGAUAAGUACCUGGCUCCUGCCAUCGGAUCAGCACGGUGUGCCGGCCGCAGCACGCCGGCUGCGGCGGCCAUUGGAGGGUGAACCAACGGCAAAGGAAGACCUUUCUCUCUCUCUCUCACUGUCCACUCUGCCUGUCAAAAAAUAAAUAAAUAAAUAAAUAAAAUAAUAAAAAAAAAAGGUUUGUGGAAGUUGAAGGCUAUGCGAGAUUAGUUUGGAUGAGAUUAGAUGGAAAUUAUUUUCAAGUUAGCUCUUCUCUUAAAAGACAGCAGGAUUACCUGAUUCUCUACCUCUUUGUUUCAUGAUGUAUUUAACAGUCGGUUAGAAUCUAUUAGGCUACUGAGGUCUGAUAGAACCCAUUAGGUCACUGGGCCUGCACCCCCAGGCUCAAUGAAACUGGGUGCAGAUAGCUAAUGUGAUGGAACAAGGAUGUAAACCUUACCCAUCCUCACUCACGGCCCAAAAAAUAGAUGAACAUUAGAAUGUAUUCCUUGCCCUUGAAUGUCAAUUGGGUCUCACACCCUAUUGCCUUCAUGCCCCACCCCCCAUGGCCACCUGAAAGACCAGUUCCAGGAAUUCGCCUCCUCCUGCUGCUCCCUACCCCCACCCUCAGCCCCAGCCCUCCUAAAAUCUAAAAAGGCCCGGCCUCUGGGGAUUGGGGCCUUUGCCACGUGUUCCAUACGCUCAACCCCUCACUUCCGUCCCCUCAAAGAUAAAGUCUUUUCUUCUUAACCGGCUUCCUCCCUGCCUUUGAACUGGAAAAUCCUAAAACCUAACACUUUAAGCAAAUGCAUUCCUAGGAAAUUGAAAAUUUGCAUAACAGUUUCCUGUGUGUACUUUCAUGCAUUAUAGGACACUGAACGAUGUUCUUGCUUUGUCUUGUUAUGCCCAGUUCAGUUGUCCCCAAAGACCACCAAGGAGCCGAUAUUGGAGGUCCAGGCCUGGAUUCUCAAUCAACGACGACACAGGGGGUCUGGAUUGAGAGUCCCGACCCUUCAGUUAACAGGGUUUUCAGAGACAUUCUAUACAUCAUGGUACCAUUUAGCAAAUCAUCUCAUCCCGCGGGAAAUUCAAAGGACAUCUCUUAGAACUGAUUAGUGCAUCCAGUGGCGGGAACGCACCUACUAAAGGUGGUUGGAUGGCUUUGGGGUUGAUGCCUUUUGAAUUGAUUGGCCGAAGCACAGGGUCCGAGCUGCUGGGGUGUACGUGCCGAACUGCAGGGUCUCAGGAAGCUAUCAAUCACCUUAUCUGCCCUGAGAAGACACCAGGAACUCUAGGUAUAUCUCUGUUAUCUGCUAAUCGCUAGGAGAGUUUAUCGCAAGGGGAGUUCAUUUAUUUACUUUUAGGAGCUUCUGGCUUAGGGUUCAGGGCUUGGUCAGGUCCAAGUUCCUAGAUGGAGGCCUAAUUUAAAAUAGUUACACCUUGAUCCAAGCUCAGGUCUCACAGUCUUUCCUUUUUUUCCAAAAGAAAUACUCUGAGGAUUACAGAUAUUUUUUUUUUAUGUUAACGGACUCCAUUUUCUAGUAUUAUUUAUACUUCACAGCCUUAUUUACAAGAGCUGUUGACACGCAAACUCCAGUAAAACACACUACAGAAAUGACUGUCCAAAUUGCUCCCUGUCUGAACUUACAAAACUUUCAAACAGAUAAAGAGGUAGAAAAUAGUAAAAGGUACACUCUUCUAUGGUAAAGGUAGUUUUGCUAUGUUUGCCCUUUUUGACAAUGACUUUUUAAAAAAAUAUUUAUUUGGAGCAGCCGGGCUUGAACCGGCGCCCAUAUGGGAUGCCAGCAUUGCAGGCGGCGGCGGCUUUACCCACUACGUCUCAGCACCGGCCCCACAAUUCUUUUAAAACAUAAACAUUUCACCAUGACUUUAACAGUAGGUGAAACUGUCUACAUAAGCCCAAUGUUGUCACAUUCAACAAAAUUCGUAGUAACUUUAAUAUUGUUACUACGAGUAUCCAGUUUAUAUACAAAUUUCCCUGAUUUUUCCCAAUGGUUUUCUGUAAUCAGGAACACGGCAUUUGCUAUUAUAGCGUAGAGUUUAACCUAUUACUAGGGCUGGGGCCCUGACAGAAACUGGGACUCAGACGUCAGCAUACACUGUUACUAACACGCCAUAACACCUUUACUCUUUCCACACGAAGAUAAAUACAAAAAACAUGGCGACCGGGCGCCAAGCGUUAUGGGAAAUGUAGUCUUUCAUGGAAUGGGUUUUCGCGCAGCAUUUCGGGAGCAGAGAGCCCGCUCUUCCCUCAGCGCGAGUGCACUCCGCCCCACCUGCUCAGUCCUGCUGUGCAGCUGCAGAGUUAAGAGCUGGGUGAGUACUCUGAGCCACGUGGCGUUGGCGCGGUGUGCAGACCUACCUAGGGUAUUGCGCUGGGGAACCUCCUGCCCAGACAGGACCCUCACCACCGCGCCUUGGCCGGGCCUGGACGUGUGCCUGAGAGAGGCUGACUGAGAGGGAGCCCUGAGGGGUGAGUUCGGAUGGGGGGACCUUUGUGCGGCACCUGCAGCCGGACGUGGGGACAUCUCUUUCCAGCGUCCGGACGGGAAUACGGGUGUGUGAACCGACUGCUGGCCCCGCCGCCACGCGCACCUGACCGUGAGUGUGUGUGUGCAGGAAUCGGAGUGACCGUGUCACUUGGGCGUGCGUAAGCCAGGUUUCUCCUCUGAAGAGUGAGGAGGCGAGGGGCCGGCGCUGUGGUGGAGCAGGCUAAGCCUCCGGCUUCACCAGCGCCACUGCGUCCCGUAUGGGCGCCGGUUCGGACCCCAGCUGCUCCACUUCCGAACCAGCUCCCUGCUGCUGCGCCUGCGAAUGCAGUGGGAGAUGGUUCGAGUGCUCGGGCCCCUGUUCCCACGUGGGAGACCUGGAAGGAGCUCCUGGCUUCGGAUCGGCCUAGCUCCGGCCAUUGAGGUCAUUUGGGGGUGAACCAGUGGGUGGAAGACCUUUCUCUUCCUCGUCUCUGCCGGAGCUAGGGUGCAAAUACGAAUAGGCUUUACGCACUGAAUCAGGCGGCUCUCAGACCCUGCGUCCCUGAGACUCCUGGCAGCCUUCAUACAGCUGAAUGAUUUGCCCUCGGGUCUUCAGGACCACGUGCAGUCACAGUGGACAGAAUCCUGCUGUGUGGCGGGUGUAUUUGUUCUGGGGUUCAGAGACCUCGGGUCAGGGGCAACUUAAAAGAUUUUUACGAUUUGAUUCUUUGAGAGGUAGAGUUACAGGGAGAGGCAGAGAGGUCUUCCAUCCACUGGUUCACUCCCCAGUUGGCUGCAACUUUCGGAGCUGUGCCUAUCUGAAGCCAGGAGCUCCUUCCUGGUCUCCCACGUGGGUGCAGGGGCCCAAGCACCUGGGCCAUCUUCUACUGCUUCCCUAGGCUACAAGCAGAGAGCUGGAUCGGAAGUGGAGCAGCCGGUGGCUUUACUCAUUACAUCACAGCACCGGCCCCAAUACAUUUUUUUUAAAAAAGUAGAGCAGGGGACAGGUGUCAUGGCGCAGUAGGUUAAUCCUCUGCCUGCAGUGCCAGCGUCCCAUAUGGGUGCAGAUUUCAUUCCUGGCUGCUCCACUUCCAAUCCAGCUCUCUGCUGUGGCCUGGGAAAGCAGUAGAAGAUGGCCCAAGUGCUUGGGCCCCUGCAUCCACAUGGGAGACCCGGAAGAAGCUCCUGGAUCAGCACAGCUCUGGCCGUUGUGGCCAUCUGGGGAGUGAACCAAAGGAGGAAAGACCUUUCUAUCUCUCCCUCUCACUUUCUGUAACUCUACCCCUCAAAUAAAUAAAGCCUUUAAAAAGAAAAAAAGAAAGAAGUAGAGCAGUAGAGACAAACUGGCACCCAUAUCGGAUUUCAGCAUUGCAGGCAACAGCCUAACCUGUUCUACCACAACAUGUUCCAACUUAAAGGCUUACUUUAUUUUAUUUGAAAGACUUACAGAAAGGUAGAGACGGGGAGUGGGGGUGUCUUCCAUCUGCUGGUUCACUCCCCAAAUGGCCGCAGCAGUCAGAGAGCUGGGCCUAUCCAAAGCCAGGAGCUUCUUCCAGGUCUCCCGUGAGGGUGCAGGGGCCCAAGGACCUGGGCGCCAUCCUCAGCUGCUUUCCCAGGCACAUCAGCAGGAUUAAAGUCCCAAAGAAUCCAUUUAAGAAUCAGGUUUAAGGCCCUGUGUCAUUUUUUUCACCCAAGGUGGUUUUUCUGCCAUGGGACUUUGGAAAUGUACUUUUUUUUUUUUAGUUUAUUUAAUUGAAUAAACAGAAAAGAGAAGCAAACAGAGGUCUUCCAUCUGAUGGUUCACUCCCCAGUUGGCUGCCAACAGUAGGAGCUGCGCCUAUCUGAAGCCAGGAAUCAGGAGCUUCUUCUGGGUCUCCCACAUGGGUGCAGGAGCCCAAGGACUUGGGUCAUCUUCUACUGCUUUCCCGGGCCAUAGCAGAGAGCUGCAUCAGAAGUGGAGCAGCCAGGACUCAAACUGGUGCCUACAUGGGAUGCUGACACUGUAGGCGGCGGCUUUACCCACUAUGCCACAGCACCGGCCCCGGAAAUGUACUUUUGAUGGGUUUUGUCUUGCCUUGUAACUGAAUGUCAAGCUGAUUGUCAUGUUUUUUUCUACCCCAAUAUUUUGCUUUAAAAACCCCACUACCACCAGUCUCUUUGGGUUUUGCUUUUUUUUUAUUUUACAGGUAGAGUUACAGACAGUGAGAAAGGUCAUCCUUCUGUUCUUUCAUUCCCCAAAUGGCUGCUAUGGCCAUCCUGCGCCAAUCUGAAGGCAGGAGCUUCUUCCUGGUCUCCCAUGGGGGUACAGAGGCCCAAGCACUUGGGCCAUCCUCCACUGCCCUCCCGGGCCACAGCAGAGAGCUGGAGUGGCAGAGGAGCAACCAGGACUAGAACCCGGUGCCCAUAUGGGAUGCCGGCACUGCAGGUGGAGGAUUGACCAGGCAAGCCACGGCGCAGGCCCCAUGGGUUUUGCCUUUCUUGGAGCCCCCAUCCCCAUGCAGGUCACCUUGGCUGGGGGUCUCUGACUUAAAUAAAUCUUGCUCUUAAUACGUCUUGCUUUCUCUACCCCGUCUGCCUGGAAAUUCCUCUUCCAUGCGAGACAAAGAACUGAGGUAGUCUUUGCUCUGCUGCUGCUUCACCGUAUCACUAGUAUCCGGCAGCACUUGGAAAUCUUUGUAGACGUCCUGCCACGCACAGGGCAGCCCGCCACAGCAAAGAAUGAUCCAGUUCACAAUGUCAGUAAGUGCUAAGGUAGGGAACACCGCUUCCCAUCAAAGUUUCAACUAAAAUGAAUUUAUUUCCCAGAUCUAAUCCUAGCUUCUCUGGAGUAAAACGGCCCCUCUUCUGGCAGGAAGAGGGGAGUCCCACCUGGAAGAUCACCCUCUGACAGAGACCUACUGCCAGGAGCUUCAGAACACGGGCGGACCCAGAGGAGAGCAGGUCCUGACUUGCUCCACCUAAAAGUAAUUCUCAUCUCCUCUUGUCCAGGCAGAGCCAGACUUGACGAUGUCACCAGAGCCACAGGCCUCUCUUAACCAUGCGGACCUCCUGAUUCUGAGGCAAAGUUCAAGAGCUUGUCCUUCGCAGUUCUCCAUAGUCUUCUACAAACACAAGCAUUGGCUGUUGAACAUGCAAGGGGCUGAAAAUCUGGCAUCAUCAAGGAACCAGCAAAGGAACCGGCGUUAUGGUUAAGCCACCUUUGGAAAAGCAGCAAGUGCUUGGACCCCUGCCACCCACAUGGAGACCCACACGGAAUUCCAGGCUCCUGGCCCAGCCCUGGCUGUUGCAGCUAUUUGGAGAGUGGAUGGAAGAUCUUUUCCUCUGUCACUCUACCUUUGAAGCAAAUAAAAUAAAUCUUUAAUUUAAAAAAGA